rnacentral:rRNA from 1 species
CACGUAGGGGGCGAGCGUUGUCCGGAUUCAUUGGGCGUAAAGGGCGCGCAGGCGGCUCGGAAAGUCGGGUGUGAAAACUCGGGGCUCAACCCCGGGCGUGCAUCCGAUACUGCCGGGCUUGAGGCAGGUAGGGGAGAUCGGAAUUCCUGGUGUAGCGGUGAAAUGCGCAGAUAUCAGGAGGAACACCGGUGGCGAAGGCGGAUCUCUGGGCCUUACCUGACGCUGAGGCGCGAAAGCUAGGGGAGCGAACAGG